rnacentral:lncRNA from 1 species
UCGUAAUCCAUCGUGUAGCCUUCGUAACCCAUCGUGUAGCCUUCGUGAUCCAUCGUGUAGGCUUCGACUGAGAUAUGAAGCUUAAAUACCUGUCUUCGGUUAACCUUCGUAUGUCCAUCUUUUGCUAUCGUAUAUAAUUUCGGCACCAUCGUAUAGACUUCGUUAUUCAUCGUACUUGCUUCGGUCACUUUUUUGUAUUUUAACGAGAUCGGGACCAACUUCGUACGAACUUACAAUUUUCGCAUUCGGUUGUCCAUCGUAUAUAAAAAUCGGGACAGUGUGACGCGGGCAUUAUAGAAUUCAGACAAGAAUUUAUAUAAAUUGUAAAACAAACAAAUAAUUAGUUGUCUCUGCCCAUUAUUGUAAUCGAAGUUAUCAAUGAACACUUUAACCUAGAAUGACCAAUUAAGCGAGGAUUUUGACAAUUCAAAACUUUUUCAAUGAAUUCCUUCUUUUUUGUUUUUUUU